rnacentral:rRNA from 1 species
AUUGAACGCUGGCGGCACGCCUAACACAUGCAAGUCGAGCGGCAGCGAGACUAGUAGCAAUACUAGUUGUCGGCGAGCGGCGGACGGGUGAGUAACACGUAGGAAUCUGCCCUUAAGCGGGGGAUAACCAAGGGAAACUUUGGCUAAUACCGCAUAAUCUCGAGAGAGCAAAGCUGCCCGCAAGGGUGGCACUUGAGGAGGAGCCUGCGUCCGAUUAGCUAGUUGGUGGGGUAAUGGCCUACCAAGGCGAUGAUCGGUAACUGGUCUGAGAGGGCGACCAGUCACACUGGGACUGAGGCACGGCCCAGACUCCUACGGGAGGCAGCAGUGGGGAAUAUUGGACAAUGGGGGCAACCCUUAUCCAGCGAUGCCGCGUGAGUGAAGAAGGCCUUCGGGUCGUAAAGCUCUUUAGGUUGGGAAGAAGGGUAUUGGCUGAAUAAUCCAGUACUUUGACGGUACCGACAGAAUAAGCACCGGCAAACUCUGUGCCAGCCGCCGCAGUAAAAC